rnacentral:rRNA from 1 species
UACGGAGGAUGCAAGCGUUAUCCGGAUUUAUUGGGUUUAAAGGGUGCGUAGGCUGUUUGUCAAGUCAGGGGUGAAAUACCACAGCUUAACUGUGGAACUGCCUUUGAUACUGGCAGGCUGGAAUACGGAUGCCGUGGGAGGAAUGAGUAGUGUAGCGGAGGAAUGCAUAGAUAUUACUCAGAACACCGAUUGCGAAGGCAUCUCACGAACCCGUCAUUGACGCUGAGGCACGAAAGCGUGGUGAUCAAAC